GUCCUUGUAGCGCAAUGGAUAUCGCGUUGGGUUUCUAACCCUAAGGGUCGUGGGUUCGAGUCCCACCUGGGAUG